UACGUAGGGUGCGAGCGUUAAUCGGAAUUACUGGGCGUAAAGCGUGCGCAGGCGGUUUUGUAAGACAGGUGUGAAAUCCCCGGGCUUAACCUGGGAACUGCAUUUGUGACUGCAAGGCUAGAGUAUGGCAGAGGGGGGUAGAAUUCCACGUGUAGCAGUGAAAUGCAUAGAUAUCGUCAAGAACACCGAUAGCGAAGGCAGCUUACUAAGUUGUAACUGACGCUGAUGCACGAAAGUGUGGGGAUCAAACAGG
rnacentral:rRNA from 1 species